GACAGAGGUGGCUAGCGUUGUUCGGAAUUACUGGGCUUAAAGGGCGCGUAGGCGGUAAUGUAAGUCUGGGGUGGAAUCCUAUGGCUCAACCAGAGGACUGCCCUGGAAACUACAUUACUUGAGUCAGACAGGGGAAGGCGGAAUUCCUGGUGUAGCAGUGAAAUGCGUAGAUAUCAGGAGGAAGGCCUGUGGUGAAGACGGCCUUCUGGGUCUUGACUGACGCUGAGGCGCGAAAGCGUGGGGAGCAAACAGG
rnacentral:rRNA from 1 species